GACGAACGCUGGCGGCGUGCCUAAUACAUGCAAGUAGAACGCACAGUUUAUACCGUAGCUUGCUACACCAUAAACUGUGAGUUGCGAACGGGUGAGUAACGCGUAGGUAACCUUCCUGGUAGCGGGGGAUAACUAUUGGAAACGAUAGCUAAUACCGCAUAAUAUUGAUUAUUGCAUGAUAAUUGAUUGAAAGAUGCUAUUGCAUCACUACCAGAUGGACCUGCGUUGUAUUAGCUAGUAGGUGAGGUAACGGCUCACCUAGGCGACGAUACAUAGCCGACCUGAGAGGGUGAUAGGCCACACUGGGACUGAGACACGGCCCAGACUCCUACGGGAGGCAGCAGUAGGGAAUCUUCGGCAAUGGACGAAAGUCUGACCGAGCAACGCCGCGUGAGUGAAGAAGGUUUUCGGAUCGUAAAGCUCUGUUGUAAGAGAAGAACGGGUGUGAGAGUGGAAAGUUCACACUGUGACGGUAUCUUACCAGAAAGGGACGGCUAACUACGUG
rnacentral:rRNA from 1 species